AUGGGGAGUGCAUCGGUCGGCUAUGUCCCUGGACCUCCUGGCUUCCCUGUCACGUCCGAACGUAAUCAGAGAAGACCUGCCCAAGCACCGCACCACCUUGUGAUCAUAAAGAAGAAUAUCCAAUACAAUCACAGGAAAGAGUACCCGAAAAAAACCGUAACGUAUCAGGGUCGUACGCCUGGAACAGUCGUACAAUUUCGGCGAUUCAAAAAGGAGUAUAUCCCUCUCCCUUAG